ACUUCAUAAAGUUUACUUUAAGAAGUGACUUAGUGGCGGACGGGUGAGUAACGCGUGGGUAACCUGCCUUACACAGGGGGAUAACAGUUAGAAAUGACUGCUAAUACCGCAUAAAACAGCAGCACCGCAUGGUGCAACUGUCAAAGAUUUAUCGGUGUAAGAUGGACCCGCGUCUGAUUAGCCAGUUGGUGAGGUAACGGCCCACCAAGGCGACGAUCAGUAGCCGGACUGAGAGGUUGACCGGCCACAUUGGGACUGAGAUACGGCCCAGACUCC
rnacentral:rRNA from 1 species